GCAAGUCGAACGAACUCUGGUAUUGAUUGGUGCUUGCAUCAUGAUUUACAUUUGAGUGAGUGGCGAACUGGUGAGUAACACGUGGGAAACCUGCCCAGAAGCGGGGGAUAACACCUGGAAACAGAUGCUAAUACCGCAUAACAACUUGGACCGCAUGGUCCGAGUUUGAAAGAUGGCUUCGGCUAUCACUUUUGGAUGGUCCCGCGGCGUAUUAGCUAGAUGGUGGGGUAACGGCUCACCAUGGCAAUGAUACGUAGCCGACCUGAGAGGGUAAUCGGCCACAUUGGGACUGAGACACGGCCCAAACUCCUACGGGAGGCAGCAGUAGGGAAUCUUCCACAAUGGACGAAAGUCUGAUGGAGCAACGCCGCGUGAGUGAAGAAGGGUUUCGGCUCGUAAAACUCUGUUGUUAAAGAAGAACAUAUCUGAGAGUAACUGUUCAGGUAUUGACGGUAUUUAACCAGAAAGCCACGGCUAACUACGUGCCAGCAGCCGCGGUAAUACGUAGGUGGCAAGCGUUGUCCGGAUUUAUUGGGCGUAAAGCGAGCGCAGGCGGUUUUUUAAGUCUGAUGUGAAAGCCUUCGGCUCAACCGAAGAAGUGCAUCGGAAACUGGGAAACUUGAGUGCAGAAGAGGACAGUGGAACUCCAUGUGUAGCGGUGAAAUGCGUAGAUAUAUGGAAGAACACCAGUGGCGAAGGCGGCUGUCUGGUCUGUAACUGACGCUGAGGCUCGAAAGUAUGGGUAGCAAACAGGAUUAGAUACCCUGGUAGUCCAUACCGUAAACGAUGAAUGCUAAGUGUUGGAGGGUUUCCGCCCUUCAGUGCUGCAGCUAACGCAUUAAGCAUUCCGCCUGGGGAGUACGGCCGCAAGGCUGAAACUCAAAGGAAUUGACGGGGGCCCGCACAAGCGGUGGAGCAUGUGGUUUAAUUCGAAGCUACGCGAAGAACCUUACCAGGUCUUGACAUACUAUGCAAAUCUAAGAGAUUAGACGUUCCCUUCGGGGACAUGGAUACAGGUGGUGCAUGGUUGUCGUCAGCUCGUGUCGUGAGAUGUUGGGUUAAGUCCCGCAACGAGCGCAACCCUUAUUAUCAGUUGCCAGCAUUAAGUUGGGCACUCUGGUGAGACUGCCGGUGACAAACCGGAGGAAGGUGGGGAUGACGUCAAAUCAUCAUGCCCCUUAUGACCUGGGCUACACACGUGCUACAAUGGAUGGUACAACGAGUUGCGAACUCGCGAGAGUAAGCUAAUCUCUUAAAGCCAUUCUCAGUUCGGAUUGUAGGCUGCAACUCGCCUACAUGAAGUCGGAAUCGCUAGUAAUCGCGGAUCAGCAUGCCGCGGUGAAUACGUUCCCGGGCCUUGUACACACCGCCCGUCACACCAUGAGAGUUUGUAACACCCAAAGUCGGUGGGGUAACCUUUUAGGAACCAGCCGCCUAAGGUGGGACAGAUGAUUAGGGUGAA
rnacentral:rRNA from 1 species